AUGAAAAGAGAUGUUGCACUAGAAAGGAAGAGGUUUACCGAAACAUGCGGCAACGGGGAAUAUUUGCAAAUCUCUUCCUUUCCAGAACUUCAUCUUCACUCUUGUCAUCUCGAUGUUCCUCACGGGGAAAUAGUUGCAAACCCUUUCCAGAGCUUCAUUGUCAUCUCGAUAUUCCUGACGUGGAAAUAUUUGCAAACCUCUUCUUUCCUAGCACUUCAUAGGGAAAUAUUUGCAAACCCUUUCUUUCCAAAACUUCAUCCUCGCACUUGA